rnacentral:rRNA from 1 species
GAGUUUGAUCGUGGCUCAGGAUGAACGCUAGCGGCAGGCCUAAUACAUGCAAGUCGAGGGGCAGCAGGGAUAGCAAUAUUCGCUGGCGACCGGCGCACGGGUGCGUAACACGUAUACAAUCUGCCUUUAACAGGGGGAUAGCCCGGAGAAAUCCGGAUUAAUACCCCAUAACAUUCGAAAUGGCAUCAUUUUGAAUUAAAAGCUCCGGCGGUUAAAGAUGAGUAUGCGUCUGAUUAGCUAGUUGGUGAGGUAACGGCUCACCAAGGCGACGAUCAGUAGGGGAUCUGAGAGGACUACCCCCCACACGGAUACUGAGACACGGAUCCGACUCCUACGGGAGGCAGCAGUAAGGAAUAUUGGACAAUGCCCGCAAGGGUGAUCCAGCCAUGCCGCGUGCAGGAAGACGGCCCUAUGGGUUGUAAACUGCUUUUAUACCGGAGAAAA